AAAAGAAGCAGUUCACAAGCUAGUCCCUUGCUAUCUCAAAAUGGAGGUACUUCAAAAGAUGUGGAGAUAUUGGAGUCCAGGCCCUCAAAGGUAAGGAGAAAGAUGUUUGAUCUUCAACUUCCAGCUGAUGAGUACUUAGAUACUGAAGGACAACAAGUACAACUAAGGGAUGAAAAUAUAUGUGGUAUUUCUAGUUAUCCGUCAAAUAGGAAUCAUAAAGUUGCACCUGGGAGUGGAAUAAAUGUGCUUGUUGGUACCGGUGGGAAGAAUAAUUGCCAAGGAGAUACAUUGCAAUCUGAAUCAUGUUUAAAAAGCAAAAAUAAUNACUUGAAUGAGCCUAUUGAGGUUGAGGAUAUAAAUGCAUCUGCAAAUGAUCUUCUAGGCUGUACUUCCUCCCAUUGUGAGAUUCAAGAGCAUGAACUGGCUGC
rnacentral:misc_RNA from 1 species